rnacentral:rRNA from 1 species
UACGGAGGGUGCAAGCGUUGUUCGGAAUCAUUGGGCGUAAAGCGCGUGUAGGCGGCUUGGCAAGUCAGUUGUGAAAGCCCGGGGCCCAACCCCGGAACUGCAUCUGAAACUGCCUGGCUCGAGUCCCGGAGAGGAAGGCAGAAUUCCCGGUGUAGGGGUGAAAUCCGUAGAUAUUCGGAAGAACACCAGUGGCGAAGGCGACUCGCUGGACAAGUAUUGACGCUGAGGUGCGAAAGCGUGGGGAGCAAACAGG